AUUUAUCAAUUAUAAAAAUUCUCUCUCUACAAAGGCUCCCAAACCUCCAUUAAAGACAACCAAGCAAUCCUCUUAAGUUCUUCAUCAAAAAUUCAAAAAUUCAAAAAAAUUUCAAGUUUCUUCUAACUUCUUAUCCAAGGGAUGGAUGCUCCAUCAUAUUCUUGUGGCUAGCUAGUUGGUGAUCUAUCGAAGAUUGUGUGGUUAGUCCUCAUGCUUUGAGGCAAAGUCAAGUCUAUCUUUUCUUCUCUUUUCAUUUUUAGGCUAUGAUUAUACAUUGAGACUAUUUCAUGUUAUGUCAUUGCUUUUCAUGAGGGUGAGCAAGGAACAUGUCCUAGUCCCCGCCUAGGUUAGUUCAUGUAGAGGCAUGUUGAAUAUGUGUAUGGAGUCUAUGUUGUCUUGCUUCAUUCUUGUUAUGAUGUGUUCUUGAAUUUCUUGUGA